rnacentral:lncRNA from 1 species
CAGUCUCGCUCCUCCCCGGCUUUCCCUAGCUCCCCUCCGCCUCUCCGCCCCGUCCUGUCCCUCGCUGGCCUCCCUCCCUCUUCUCUCCUGCGCCUCCUCCUCGCUCUGUGCGUGCUCUCUCGCUCUCUCUCUCCCUCUCUCCCUCCCUCCCUUCUCUCUCGUUCUCUCUCUCUCUCUCUCCCUCUUUCCCUCCUCCUCUCUGCUCCUGUCAUUCUUGGUUGCUUUUGCUGCCUCUCUGUGUCUCUUUCCGUCUGUCCUCCCUUCUGUCUCUGCACAUCUGUCCUUCCUUUCGCCCUCUCCCUAUCUCCAUCCUCUUUCUCUGCCUGUGGGGCAUUAUCUGUGUCUCCCAUUUAUUCUUCCCUUUUCUCUGUUUCUCUCCCUCCCUUCCUGUCUCUGUGUCUCUGUUCUUCCUCUCUCUCGCUUUCUCCUCCCCUCUCUCCCCGAACCAGUCAGGGUCUGCCCGUCUCUCUCUCCCCCUUCCUGCUCUCCCAGCUUCGCCCCCACCAGCUUUAGUAUCUCCACCCCCCACCCCCACCCACUGGGGGCUCAAAGGUGAAUCAGACCCGAAUCUGCCCUUGCAGAUGGAGCUCACAGUCUGAUGGAAGAGACAGAGCCAGCCGCAGACAGUCCCAAUCCCGGGUGAUCUGGGUAUGACACAGGGAGAGGCCAGAGGCUGUGAGAGCCCAGGGCGGGAGGAAUCCUGGCAGCUGGAGACGGCAGAGAGGACCUCCAGAGAAGGCGUGGUUGUGGCAUGACCUCCACUAAGGCCCUUCCAGGCAGAGGGCACAGCUGAAGCGAAGGCCCAAGGCAGGAAACCAAGGAGGUGCUGGGAGGACAACAAAGCCCUUAAGUCUGACUAGAGCCUCCGAAGCCAGGAGCCAAGGAGCACAGGAGAUGAGGCUGGUGGGGCGAGCGGGCGGGGUCAGAUUCUUAGGGAGUUUCAGGCCAGGCUGGGAACUUAGCCUUCUGAGGGUGACAGGGAGCCCUGGAAGGUUGUGAGCAAGGGGCGGGGACACGGUUAUAGCUGAAUGUCAGACCCCGCUGAGGCUGUGUGGAGUGGAGGGGGAGAGACGGGUGGAGGCUGGGGAGGAGGCCCCCUCCCUGCAGUUUGCGGGCUAGGACCUGGGGAGAGAGGAAGGGGUGGGGCAGGAAUGUGAGGAGCUGGAGAUGGCUGGAGACUGCUGGGCACUGGGGGCAGAGAACAGGAACCUGUGGGCGGGAAACAGGUAGGAAAACUACAACUCCCUGAGUCUGGCCCAGGAACGGAUGGGGCAGGAGUUGCUUUCAAUGGGGAACUAGGAGGAAGAAGAGGGUAGAGGAGAGAGAUGCUGUGGGCAUCUGAGAACUUAGUGGACAUUAAGAGCCAGGGAAAACGUUCAGGAUGCAUGGUGCUGGGCUUUCAACAGUGCAUCUCCCUCCCUCCCUAUCCUCCAGCCACCCAGUUCUCCUCUCUGGGGACAGCAUAUAUUCACUAAUUUCUUAUGUAUCUUUCCAGAGGAAUUUUAUACAUCUAUGCACAUAUAUACCACCCUCCUCUUUUCUGUCCCCUGAUAGGAUCACAUUAUUCUGCACCUUGGUUUUUUUUUUUUUUUUUACAUGAUAUCCAAAGAUCCUCCCAUAUCUAGGCUUAUAGAACCUCCUCAUUCAUUUUAAUAGUGAUAUAAUAUUCCAUUGUAUUCAUCUAUUUAUUCCUAGUGUAUUCAGUUAAUUGGGAGAUUGGGAGGUUUUUUAUGUCAAGAAACUAAUGGUUAUGCAUAUUGAUAUUUACAGAUUUGCUUAUGUAUGUAUGUAUGUAUGUAUGUAUGUAUGUAUGUAUGUAUGUAUUUAUUUUUGAGACGGAUUGCC